rnacentral:rRNA from 1 species
UACGGGGGGGGCAAGCGUUGUUCGGAAUUACUGGGCGUAAAGGGCGCGUAGGCGGCCUGCUAAGUCGGAUGUGAAAUCCCUCGGCUCAACCGAGGAGCUGCAUCCGAUACUGGCGGGCUUGAAUCCGGGAGAGGGAUGUGGAAUUCCAGGUGUAGCGGUGAAAUGCGUAGAUAUCUGGAGGAACACCGGUGGCGAAGGCGGCAUCCUGGACCGGUAUUGACGCUGAGGCGCGAAAGCUAGGGGAGCAAACGGG